UAAUUGCAUAACUUUUAUUUU
rnacentral:piRNA from 1 species